GAGAAAUGAAGAUAAAAGAAGUGCAAGGAUCAGUAUGGUGAAAAUACUUUGAGAAACACCCCUAAGAACAUGAACUGCAAGAGGGGAAUGUUUCUAAGUCUUCGAAUACAAUAUAAUGAAAAUAAUUAGAGGAUUAAUUAAUAAGUAAGGAGAAAUGACAACGGUAACGAAAGAAAAACUGUGCGAAAAUUAACAUAAUUAAAAUAAACUAUGAAAACUAUCACAAAGAACAAGAAAUAUUAGUAAAAACUCAAAAAAUUAAGUUAACCGUCCCUGGGUGAAGAUUGGCCGCCGCCCCGCCAUGUGCGAACAACAACAUUCGGUCAGGGUUGAAGCGAUUAGGGAGUUUUCAGCUGUAAUUGUGUGCAAGUAGUCACCAUCACCUACUGGAGUGACGGGUGGAGUGGAGCAGCAGUAGUGGUGGUGGAGCUGGAGUGGUGUCAGACUACCCCAUCCCCUGCCUCCCGCCCUGCCCCACCCAGACACCAUGGCCCGGCAGCGACACCAUUCCACCUGCUACAUGAUGCUGGCUGACGCACUCCUGACGUGGCAGCGACAGGAGGCGGAGGGCAGGAGCAAGAGUCGGAUGGUGAAGAAAGGCGUGAUGGCGGAGGUGGUGGCUGUGGAGGGUGUUCGUACAGGGUACCUCGGCAGGGUCUAGUGUGCAGGUUGGCAGUAAACCUCCCUGAAGGUUCCAGAGCUGGUCAGCAAGUGUCCAGUCCAGGCUGUCACAAGACUGUGUGAUGGUGGACCUUCCAAUGAUACUCACUGAAAACAGCUGUGCACUGCCACUCACAGGAAAUGGUGGUACUGUGGAUAGCAAGCGGAAGAGACCUUGGGAGACUUCCGUAAAUGAGGAGCAACAAGCACACCUCACUGGAGUCUUUCAGGAACCAACAGUCGGGGCCUGAUGUGAAGGUGUCUGCAGCCAGUGUUUGGUGUCCUCUUUGCCUGGUGGUGCCUCAUUGCAGGGCUGAUGUGAAGGCGUCUGCAGCCAGUGUUUGGUGUCCUCUGUGCCUGCCUGGUGGUGCCUCAUUGCAGGGCCUGACGUGAAUGUGUCUGCAGCCAAUGUUUGGUGUCCUCUGUGCCUGGUGGUGCAGCCUGAUGUGUUGCCUGCUUCAGUGUAAAUCUUGUAAGCUAGAUCUGCCAGCUGUCUCCAGUGUAGUAGUCUAGGGUGCUUUGCUUUGUGUCUUUUGGCAAUAAAUAAAUUUGAACUAUUCUCAUGUGAAUUACAUAGUUUGAUAAAAUUACAAAAUGUGGUUGUGUAAACUAAAUUUAUAUUGGUGGUAAACAAUUCAGGCACCCGCAAGUAAAUAAAUAAAUAAAUAGGACCCAAAACAAUACUGAUACAAUUGAUGCCCUCAGGUAAAAAAAAAGCCAGGAUUGGCCUAUUUUUG